ACGGAAGGCAGCAGUGAGGAAUAUUGGACAAUGGAUGGAAGUCUGAUCCAGCCAUGCCGCGUGAAGGAUUGAUGCCCUACGGGUUUUGAACUUCUUUUGUACGGGGGCAAUAAGGUCCACGGGUGGACCGAUGAGAGUACCGUACGAAUAAGCAUCGGCUAACUCCGUGCCAGCAGCCGCGGCAAUACGGAGGAUGCGAGCGUUAUCCGGAUUUAUUGGGUUUAAAGGGCGCGUAGGCGGCUUGCCAAGUCAGCGGUGAACUCCGGGCGCCCACCGCCGGAACUGCCGUUGAACCUGGCGGGCUUGAAUGGUGCCGCCGCAUGCGGAAUGUGCGAAGUAGCGGUGAAAUGCAUAGAUAUCACACAGAACGCCGAUUGUGGAAGCAGCAUGCGAGACACUGAUUGACGCUGAGGCACGAAGGUGCGGGGAUCGAACAGGAUUAGAUACCCUGGUA
rnacentral:rRNA from 1 species